CCUACGGGAGGCAGCAGUAAGGAAUAUUGGACAAUGCUCGCAAGAGUGAUCCAGCCAUGCCGCGUGCAGGAAGAAUGCCCUAUGGGUAGUAAACUGCUUUUGAACUAGAGAAAACCCCAGUACGUGUACUGGGCUGAUAGUAUAGUUAGAAUAAGCAUCGGCUAACUUCGUGCCAGCAGCCGCGGUAAGACGAAGGAUGCAAGCGUUAUCCGGAUUCAUUGGGUUUAAAGGGAGCGUAGGUGGACUGAUAAGUCAGUGGUGAAAUCUCCGAGCUUAACUCGGAAAUUGCCAUUGAUACUGUUGGUCUUGAGUACAGUUGCUGUGGGCGGAAUAUGACAUGUAGUGGUGAAAUACAUAGGAGAUGUCAUAGAACACCGUAUUGACGAAGGCAGCUCAACAAAGCUAGUAACUGACACUGAGGCUACGAAAGUGGCGGGGUAUACAAACGAGGUAUUAGACUACCCGUGGUACGUCCGCAACCGUAAACGAUGAUUACUCGCUGCGUAGGGGGCCUAACCGUUUAGUGGUCUUAGACGAAAGCGAAUAAGUAAUCCCACCGUGGGGAGUACGCCGGCGAACGGUGAAACUACGAAAGGAAUUGGACCGGNGNGAGACGCGACGACGGACGACGACGGAGGGAGGAGG
rnacentral:rRNA from 1 species